rnacentral:misc_RNA from 1 species
AAAUUAAAAAAAAUAAAAAAUUUGCAAUGUAAAUUAAAUCUGAAUUCACAAUUUUUUUUAAAAUUAUUAAGUAUUUUCAUCUAAUUUUUUAAAUAUCAUUUUUAUGUUUUUUUUUAUAAUAAAAUAAUAGUUUAUUACUUAAAAAUCUAUGAAAACUGACUAAUCUGGUGUAGCCAACUCGUAAGCAGAUGAAGAGUUCCAAUAAUCAGUCUUGGCGUUUGGUUGAUGAAGCUGAUGGGAAGAAAGCUAUUGGAAUAAAAUGGGUGUACAAGCUCAAGCUGAAUCCGGAUGGGCCUAUUUACAAGCAUAAGGCUAGGCUAGUUGAGAAAGGCUACUCAAACUUUAGUGAUAUUUUUACACCUGUUGCAAGACAAAAAUUUUGAUUAGCAUUGAUUAACGAAAAAAUUGAUGAAUAGAUUAAACAAUUUAAUGAAAAUGAAAUAUAAAAAAUAAAUAAUAUAUUUUUCAAGAUACAUGAAUUAAAUAAUAAAUUUUUGUUAAAAUACAAGAACUAAAUAAUUUACCUGAAUAAGAUCUAAAGGGCCUCCUAUGGUUAACCCUUUUAUAAACCAACUAAAAAUGAACUUCUUUCCCUUAAGGUUAACAAUUUUGAAAAGGAUAGAAUUUUUGCACCCAACCUGUUCAAAGCAGAAUACUUAAAAACUAAUUGAUGUCUACAACAAAAUUAGUGCGAAAAUAAUUUGCAAAAACCAACAAGACACAUACAUAAACAAGUCCACUGCACAGAUAAAGCACACAGCUGAUUAAAAAAAAAACAAAAAAAUCAUGUUCAAGAUGAAGACGGUUCUGCUCCAUCAUGGAGAGCACAACAAACAGUUGCUUUAUGAUGACCUUGAUACACCCUAAUGUCUUCACCGGUAGACAUGGACCAAAGCCUUGCCGUUGUAUCAGACGAAGCUGUUAUUAGGUAAGCACCGUCUACUGAAAAAACACAGUCCCAUACCCACCGUUGAUGACCUAUUAAAGUUUUCUCCAAUGUAAACCCAUCAACAUUCCAUAUCUUGACAGUGUGAUCAGAAGAUGCAGUAGCCAGAUAUCUGUGAGGUUCACAAAACUCAGGUGAAAGGAGACAUUUGAGAAUGUAUCCAUCAUGUGCUUGUAACUUAUGAAGCGGCUCAAAGUUGGUCAUAGUCUGGGUCCCUCGCAAUAGGCGCCAAACAUAACAGGUUCCACGAUUAUUUGCAGCAACUACCAAGCUCCCAUCCCACAUAACCGUUAGAGACCUUACAGCUGUAUCCACCUCUGGUACCAAUUCACAGCUACAUGAAUUUGCUGUCAAAUCCCACACACGAAUGUUCCCAUUUUGGUCCCCAGAUAUCAGUUCAGUCUGAUUUGGGUGAAGCACAACAGUGUUAACAGCUGCCCGACUUUCGUACUCCCUUUGACAACCUGGUGCUCUCAAAUCCCAAAUCCUUACUGUGCCAUCCUCAGAUCCUGAAUACAUCCAAUUUCCAUCACAUUGAAACCCCACUGCCAUGACAUUAUUUGUAUGCGAAUCAUAACUCCUCACUGGUUGAGCGCUGUUGGAGUUGACAUCGAACAACCGAAUGUGAGGAUUACCAGCCGCAGCCAAGAAGCGUUUAUCUGGGUUUAUUUCAAGUCGAUUAACUUGUGAAUCAGGGUACUGGAUUGUACGGUAGCACCGGCCGCUUUUCGCCUCCCAAAACCUAAUGGUGUGAUCAUAGCUAGCUGUUGCAAGUAUCACUGAUGGUUGAGUCAUCUUAUGACUAACCCCCUAAUCAACAAAUAAUUUGAUUAGUAAAACAUCAAUCAACCAAAAUAAAAAUGAAAUUGAAUUAUUACUCAAUUUUUGAAAAAAUAAUAGAAAAGGCAAUCUUUCUUUUUGCAAUGUUAUUAAACCUGGUCUGGAAAUUGACCUGGUAGAGGAAAUGGGUGAAUAGAUCACUGGUUUAGCCGGUGGAUCAAUGGUUCAACAAGUGAGUCACAAAAACAUUAAUUAAAUAUUACUAAUUUGAAAUAACUAUGAAUAACUUGCAAUCUAACUAGAGAUUCAUAAACAUGAUUCAACAUUGAAUUAAGAAUAUCUAAAUAGAAGUACAAGUCAAAUUAAACUAUAACUAAGUUCCAAUAUCAAAACCCAAGUUCAGUUCAAAGAUCACCAUCUAAAGCAUGUAAAAAAUUCAAAUUAGCAAAAAAAAUUGACCUCCUUUAUAUGCUUACUUUAGUUUGAUAUGACUAAAAUAACAAUAGACAACAUAAACCUAUUAGGUUAAUAUACAAUAUGAACCCAUUGCUUUAUUAUUAUGAAAAAGGAUUUAGUGUUUAAUAUUCUCUUCUUUUGGUCAUUUCAAAUUGCGUUAGCUUUAGGACAAGCACCUAAUGCCAAGCUUAAUUAUACGUUUGUGAUUUAAUUAAAAGAAGUGUCUCCAUUACCGACAGAAGAAAUUAAUUCUUUAGAUUUGGUACAAUGAACAGAGCACUAUAUUCUUCAGAUUUAGUAAAAAUAUUAUGAUGUUUCUUUUGAGGAAAGUAGGAUUUGAUAAUGGAAAAAGGACCAGAGAAAUAUAUUAGCAAUAACAGUUGUAACUUUGCACCAGCAGACGACCAAUCGAGCUUCUGCUUUGGCUUCUGUGAAAUCAGGUUCCUGGCUUGGACAAUGGAGCUUCUGGAAGUCGACAAUCCACAGUGAACACUCUAGCCGAUUCAAAGGAAGAAAGUGAGACAAAGAAAAAGUGAAAGUGAAAAAUACUGAAUGAUAUAGGACUAGUUCUUGGCACCGGUUCGAAGGAAGAAAGUGAAACGCAAAAAAGCUUCCACAGUCAAUGAUCGGGAAGGAGAGUCUGGCAGCAGCGAAUUGAAGGGAGCAAGGGGUUAGGGAUUUAUAUUUUGGAGAUUUCCAAGGAAAUCUCCUCCGCUCUCUGGACUCUGAAACUCUGGAAGAAAAG